AACGAACGCUGGCGGCAGGCUUAACACAUGCAAGUCGAGCGCCCCGCAAGGGGAGCGGCAGACGGGUGAGUAACGCGUGGGAAUCUACCCAUCUCUACGGAAUAACGCAUGGAAACGUGUGCUAAUACCGUAUACGUCCCUCGGGAGAAAGAUUUAUCGGAGAUGGAUGAGCCCGCGUUGGAUUAGCUAGUUGGUGGGGUAAAGGCCUACCAAGGCGACGAUCCAUAGCUGGUCUGAGAGGAUGAUCAGCCACACUGGGACUGAGACACGGCCCAGACUCCUACGGGAGGCAGCAGUGGGGAAUAUUGGACAAUGGGCGCAAGCCGGAUCCAGCCAUGCCGCGUGAGUGAUGAAGGCCCUAGGGUUGUAAAGCUCUUUCACCGGUGAAGAUAAUGACGGUAACCGGAGAAGAAGCCCCGGCUAACUUCGUGCCAGCAGCAGCCGCCGUAA
rnacentral:rRNA from 1 species